ACGUCGGUCGCUUCCGGGGGAGGCCGCAUCUCCCGCACCUUCCUCUCUAUCCGCCGCCGUCUCUGUGGUAGCCGAGGCCCCGCCCCUCCUCGGACUCUGACCAGUACUGAACUCGGGGCUGCAAGGCUCCAGAGUCCCUCGGGUCCCAGGUCAUGGCGGUCCCGGGGCCCGCGCCCGGAGCUGGCGCCAGGCCCAGGUUAGAUCUGCAGUUUCUCCAGCGGUUCCUGCAGAUACUGAAGGUUUUGUUUCCUUCUUGGUCAUCACAGAAUACCUUAAUGUUCCUGACCCUUUUGUGCCUGACCCUACUGGAGCAAUUGGUGAUCUACCAGGUUGGCUUGAUCCCCAGUCAGUACUAUGGGGUCCUGGGAAACAAAGACUUGGAAGGGUUUAAGACUCUGACAAUCCUGGCUGUCAUGCUCAUUGUUCUGAACUCCACGCUGAAGAGCUUUGAUCAGUUCACCUGCAACCUGCUGUAUGUGAGCUGGAGGAAGGACCUCACUGAGCACCUCCACUGCCUCUACUUCCGGGGCCGUGUGUACUACACCCUCAACGUGCUGCGGGAUGACAUCGAUAACCCGGACCAGCGCAUCAGCCAGGAUGUGGAGCGAUUCUGCCGGCAGCUCAGCAGCAUGGCCAGCAAGCUGAUCAUCUCCCCAUUCACCCUCAUCUACUACACUUACCAGUGCUUCCAAAGCACAGGCUGGCUCGGGCCUGUGAGCAUCUUUGGGUAUUUCAUCCUGGGGACCGUGGUGAACAAAACUUUGAUGGGCCCCAUUGUGACGAAGCUGGUGCAUCAGGAGAAGCUGGAGGGAGAUUUUAGGUUCAAGCACAUGCAGAUUCGGGUGAAUGCGGAGCCUGCUGCUUUCUACAGAGCUGGGCAUGUGGAGCACAUGAGGACAGACCGCAGGCUGCAGAGACUCCUUCAGACCCAGAGGGAGCUGAUGUCCAAGGAGCUCUGGCUGUACAUUGGCAUCAACACCUUUGACUAUCUGGGCAGCAUCCUGAGUUACGUUGUCAUCGCAAUCCCCAUUUUCAGCGGGGUCUAUGGAGACCUGAGUCCCGCAGAGCUUAGCACCCUGGUCAGCAAGGUGAGACUCCCUCUUGGUGACACCUCAUGCUGUCCCUCUCUGUCCUUGGCCCAGUGUCUGUGGGCUGGAGUCAGGACCCGCUUGACCUCUGCCCAUCCUGUACAGAAUGCCUUUGUGUGCAUCUACCUCAUCAGCUGCUUCACCCAGCUCAUCGACCUGUCCACAACGCUCUCGGAUGUGGCUGGCUACACGCACAGAAUUGGGCAGCUUCGGGAGACGCUGCUGGACAUGUCCCUGAAGUCGCAGGACUGCGAGAUGCUGGGCGAGAGCGAGUGGGGCUUGGACACAGCCCCAGGGUGGCCAGUGGCAGAACCAGCAGACACAGCAUUUCUCCUUGAGCGGGUCUCCAUCUCUGCCCCUUCCUCUGACAAACCCCUAAUCAAGGAUCUGAGCCUAAAGAUCUCCGAGGGACAGAGCCUGCUCAUCACAGGCAACACGGGCACUGGCAAGACCUCCUUGCUUCGGGUUCUGGGCGGCCUCUGGACGAGUACACGGGGUGAUAUAUCCCCUGAAGGAGGUCUACCCCGACUCAGGUUCUGCUGAUGAUGAGAGGAUCUUGAGGUUCUUGGAAUUGGCAGGCCUGUCCAACUUGGUGGCAAGGACAGAGGGUCUGGACCAGCAGGUGGACUGGAACUGGUAUGAUGUUCUGUCCCCGGGAGAGAUGCAACGGCUCUCCUUUGCCCGACUCUUCUACCUGCAGCCGAAGUACGCAGUGCUUGAUGAAGCCACCAGUGCCCUGACAGAGGAGGUGGAGAGCGAGCUCUAUCGCAUCGGCCAGCAGCUGGGGAUGACGUUCAUCAGUGUGGGACAUCGGCAGAGCCUUGAGAAGUUUCAUUCCUUGGUUCUGAAACUCUGUGGAGGAGGAAGAUGGGAGCUGAUGAGAAUCAAAGUGGAAUGAAGCUCCGGCUUUUGGAAGGAGAGCCACACUCUGGCAGGUCGGCAGCCCUCAGGAGAGAUCAGGAGGACUGACGGCGAAGAUCGAGCUCAGGUUCGCCACAUGGGUCCUGUGCGGGAGCCACAUAGGUCCUGUGCGGGAGCCACAUAGGUCCUGUGCAGGAGCCCUGGCAGUGGUGGACUGAGCCCAGGUCUAGGUUUCUGUGGGGGACACUGAGUCUCCCAGUGUUCAGUCUCCCAGGACUCUGCUGCCUCAGCCAGAGCCUCCAUAUGCUUGAAGUGCUGAUUACCUACAAAUGAUUUCAGAUCAUGUUUGCUAAAGAGAAAUCUGGAAGUGUGAGAUCUGUAAGAAAUGAAAGGUCAGGGUGGAAAGAGAUCUCUUGGAGUCAAGAGAUCUGGAAAUCUUUUAAUCAGUUAAAUUGUACAGCAAUAGAUUUUUAACUUUAACUGACCAUUUAAGUUUUUUUUGUAAGUUUUUUACAAAGAAAAGUUAAACAUUAAAAAGAAUUACAGCUGUCUUCUCUGUCAUGGAAUGAUCUUUUUUAUUGAAUCUCCAGAUUUGUAUUUGAGAGCUUGGUGGGAAGGGAAGCACGCUUUGCUGUUCUGGAAUCUUCUGCCUAGGGUUUUUCACUUCUCCCCACAUCUCCCUUUCCACUCGUCAGUGUUGUGUAGUUGGAACCUGAACCACUAACCUCUAGGGGACUUUGGUCUGUCCUAUCUUAAUCCAAAUGAAAGUAAAUCCCUUUCCCCUUAGCCAAAAUAAGGUUGGUUUUAAAAAAAAAAAAAAAAAAGUCUGUAUUAGGGAACAACAACAACAAAUUAAACAGACAAAACCCAGAAAGCACAAAGCAUGAGGUGGCGUUACUGUGCCCAAAGUCCUCACUCAGACCAGUGCCCCUCCAGUUCAGUUGUCUAUGUAUUACCUUCCUCACCUUCAUAAUUUUUGCCAGGCUUCUGUACUUCUAGUACUUGAGUUACUUGAUAUUUUUAAAAACAAACUCACCUUUUAAGUUCAAAUGGAUUUUUAAAUGCAAUUUUACACUUAACAUAAAUGGAAAGUAACUAAGAAUAAAUACAAGAAAAAC